rnacentral:tRNA from 5 species
GCCGCUGUAGCUCAGUUGGCAGAGCGCCCGCCUUGUAAGCGGAAGGUCAGGGGUUCGAGUCCCCUCAGCGGCUCCG